rnacentral:rRNA from 1 species
GUGCCAGCAGCCGCGGUAAAACGUAGGUGGCGAGCGUUAUCCGGAUUUACUGGGCGUAAAGCGUGUGCAGGCUGCUGCUCAAGUGGUGUAUGAAAGCUCCCGGCUCAACCGGGAAGGGUUAUGCCAGACUGAGCGGCUGGGAUGCGAGAGAGGGGCGUGGAAUUCCGGGUGUAGUGGUGAAAUGCGUAGAGAUCCGGAGGAACCCCAGAGGCGAAGGCGGCGCCCUGGCUCAGCAUCGACGCUCAGACACGACAGCAUGGGGAGCGAACGGGAUUAGAAACCCGCGUAGUCC